rnacentral:lncRNA from 1 species
CAGACUUGGAAACUGGGGUACUUUUUCAAAGAGAGUUUUCAGAGGGACUCAGAGAGGAGCCCGGGAGCAGAACAGGGUCCAUUUGUUUCACCUGGAGAAUGACAUUAGUGUGAGUCUCACCCUGUUACCCAGACUGGAGUGAACUGGCACAAUCUCGGCUCACUGUCACCUCCACCUCCCAGGUUCAAGACAUUCUCCUGCCUCAGCCUCCUGAGUAGCUGGGAUUACAGAGGAGGAAAAUGAGCUGCAGAAGGAUCAAAUGACCUGCCUGAGGUGCCCUAUCUGUUGGCACAGGCCAGAGCACAUGGUGGAUGCAGGGGCACCCCCUUCCCUUCUCCUCCCCUCCGGCUCUUUGCUGACAGGAUUCUCUCUUGCCUUCUCUGAUGGUACCUGUGCUACGUGCCACAUCCUUUCCCUCAAUGAAUUUCAGGCAGUGGAAGGGGCCGCAGAAGUUCCUUGACUCAUGAGGCGAGGCAUUCAGCGGCCUCGUGACACCUCCCAGGAUCUGCAGUCAUUGGGCUGCACUUGCCAAUAGCAACACCUGGCAAAAAUAGCUAAGAAGCAGAGCGGCCUGGGCUCAGGAGCUGAGCAACCCCUGACUGGCCAGAUGGAGACUGUGUUGAGCUCUGCCCAAGCCCUGUGAUCCUGGAAAACAGUGAAGUUAAGGAGCCAUCUGCAUUCUAGGGAAUGGCCCACUGCAAAAAAUAGCCUUCCUUAUAGGACGUAGAGGACUCAUGAUGUCCCCUCAUUUAUGAUGAGCCAACACACAGCCCUUCCAAAUUCCGAUUCUUUGCUUCAUAACUGAUGAGCUGUUUUGUUCCCACUGGUCAAUCGGAACAACAUUCUUGCUAACCAGAUUUUGGUUCAGCUCUUCUCCCUCCCCAUGUACCUGCCCUGUGUCCUGUCCUCAUCCUGAGCCAGCACACACCCCUCCUUAGUAGCUCCUCCUGCAGCAGGCUGACCUCGGACUCUCCCUGAUCCAUUGUCCAAAUAUAUCACCCUUUCACCCUACAUCCUCACACCCCAUUCUUUCUAGUUUUGUUCAUUCCUCCCUGUGAAAGAUGAACCCUCUUUGCCUAACCCCGGACCUGCUUGCAGACUGCUAUGAUGGCCAGAGUGUCCCCCCUACUGCAAGAGUCCCUUCUGUCCCUUGCAACAUCUUUUAAAUAAAAUCUCUCUUUACCAAG